CAGAGACUGCAAGCGUUAUUCGGAUUCACUGGACGUAAAGGGUGCGCAGGCGGCCAAGUGUGUUAGGCGUGAAAGCCUGAGGCUUAACCUCAGAAUUGCACCUAAAACUACAUGGCUAGAGCAUUGGAGAGGGUAGCGGAAUUCACGGUGUAGCAGUGAAAUGCGUAGAUAUCGUGAGGAACACCAGAGGCGAAGGCGGCUACCUGGACAAUUGCUGACGCUCAGGCACGAAAGCGUGGGGAGCAAAAGGGAUUAGAUACCCCUGUAGUCCACGCCCUAAACGGUGCACACUAGGUCUUGGCGGAUUCGACCCCACCAGGGCCCAAGCUAACGCGUUAAGUGUGCCGCCUGAGGACUACGGUCGCAAGACUA
rnacentral:rRNA from 1 species